UACGGAGGGGGCGAGCGUUAUUCGGAAUUAUUGGGCGUAAAGGGCGCGUAGGCGGCUGGGUAAGUUAAAGGUGAAAUCCCUCGGCUUAACCGAGGAACUGCCCUCCAAACUGCUUGGCUUGAGUCCGGGAGAGGUGAGUGGAAUUCCCAGUGUAGCGGUGAAAUGCGUAGAUAUUGGGAGGAACACCAGUGGCGAAGGCGGCUCACUGGACCGGAACUGACGCUGAGGCGCGAAAGCGUGAGGAGCAAACGGG
rnacentral:rRNA from 1 species